AUUCAGCUCCAUUAGCUGCACCCACAACUCCAGUCGACGGGUCACCUCACUCCACCUGCAGGGUUGUCUUCAUCAAAGUCCUUCCACUCUUGGUAGAGCUCCCUCAUGUCCACCAGCCUGUUCUCCAUCUUCUCCAGAGCCCAAAUCUGCUUCCCUUUACCUUUACGACGGACCUGAAUCGCUGGCUCACUCAGCACCACAUCACGCUAUGAAGAGAGAGAGGGAGAAAAAAAAAAUGCAUUAAUUCAUUUCUGUUGACCUCAAACACGUUAUCAUCUACUGUGUGCCAGAAAGCGAAAUGUGUUCUCCUAAACUGAGACGCAGUCAUAAAUACAGUGUCUACCUUCCUGUUUGCGUCCAGGUUAGUUGCAGGUAUCUGAAGAGUGACCAGGUACUCAGUUCUCUUGUAAAGUUCCUCUGCAAUGAAGCUGGCCUCCUGAGCCAGCAGGUUGGCUCGAACUAUCUGCUCCCUCAGACGCCGCAAGCUGCGAGUUAUCAUCGCCUCUCUGCACCACAAACAGACACAAACUUACAAGUUUUAAAAAGCAUCUUGAAAUCCUUCUUUCAAAGACCAAAGUGCUCAAGAGGAAUAAUAUCUCACCUGUCUUCACUCCACCGUCGCAUGCCUUUGGUGGAGCUAGGUGAUGUUACAGCAGCAGCACUGACCGUGAGACCUGAUGCAUCCAGGAGGUGGGAGGGUUUCUCAGGGAGUCCACCUUGUUCACUGUUCAGUCUGACUCACCAUUGCUGCCCAUGCCUUUCAUCAUGACCUCGGCCUGGGCCAACUCGUAACU